UUAACCGGAUUAGAUACCCUGGUAGUCCACGCCGUAAACGAUGGGUGCUAGUUGUCAGGCAGCAUGCUGUUUGGUGACGCAGCUAACGCGUUAAGCACCCCGCCUGGGGACUACGGUCGCAAGACUAAAACUCAAAGGAAUUGACGGGGGCCCGCACAAGCGGUGGAGCAUGUGGUUUAAUUCGAGGCAACGCGAAGAACCUUACCAGCUUUUGACAUCCCGGUCGCGGUUACCAGAGAUGGUUUCCUUCAGUUCGGCUGGACCGGUGACAGGUGCUGCAUGGUUGUCGUCAGCUCGUGUCGUGAGAUGUUGGGUUAAGUCCCGCAACGAGCGCAACCCUCGCCUUUAGUUGCCAGCAUUUAGUUGGGCACUCUAGAGGGACUGCCGGUGAUAAGCCGGAGGAAGGUGGGGAUGACG
rnacentral:rRNA from 1 species